UAAAAAGUCCCACUGCCCCCCCAGCCAGGACUGCCCUGACCUAACACCCAGAAAGCUAACAGGUCCUUUUCCCUCCCGCGCGUUUUGCACGGUCUAGCCCCACCGAAGAGUCUUUAUCCUAGACUAUGCAAAAUGCUUCCCGGGACAGCAUUGCCCCCUCGGUGGUCCCCGUGGGCAUGCUCCUCGUGAAAGGGUGAACGGAGAAAACUUGUCGGUUUUGAUGGCGUUUACCAAAGUAGUGCAAGUCUGGUGGCCCGAAGGUGAAUCUCUGCUAACGUGUUGGAACCUGACCUACCCUGGAAGCCUUCUGCGCCUGAUGAAUGUGCCUGGUAAACUGUGAAGGCUUAGUGCGGUGUGAAUCACAGCUUACACUAUUCCAGGAGGUCUCACCUACUUCAGACUCCCCUCGACAUGCCAGCUGAAGGGGGUUGGCACUUGGUUCGCACAAGCCCUCCAGGACACUUUUGGUUAACAUUCACUCUGACGUGUGGGUGCUCCCGCUGAGUCCUCCACAAGAGUUGACAUUUGAAUUAUCUAUGAACUCACUCUGCUGCGAAAGGAACCUACUUGAUGAAGAGAGAGAGAGAGAACCAGCUCCAAGUUGUCCUAUGACUUCCAUUCGUGACAAGUGCGCAGCUCCCCAAUGUAAAGGAAGGAAGGAAAGAGAAAAUCAGCCACCAAUCCCUUUUCUUCUUUUCUCUCUUUUUUUUUUUCUUUUGCAAUGCUAGAGGGCAAACCCUGGGCCUUACACAAUCCGGGGCAAAUUGUUCUACCCCUCUAAGCUGUAUUCCCAACCCUCAACCAUUUCCUUGUUAUACUAAGAUGUCAUCUGCACCUUUGCUCUCAUUCUCUCACGAGUACAAGCAGUGUUGCGACAGACAUAACACAGGAACUGUGUCUAUUCAGACAGGCAUGAGAAAAAUUAGCAAAAUAAAAAACACAGCGCCUCUACAUUCACUAAGUUUGGUUUUGUUUUAGAAAACACUGGGCUUCCCCCCCUGUAUAAUAUUUGUAUGUUAGCUUACCACUGGUUUAUUAAACAAAUAAAUAAUGUUUUUUUUUGUUUUGAACUUUAAA